GAGAAAGUAUGCAAGAACUGCUAACUCAUGCUCCCAUGCUUAAUAGCCUGGCUUUCUCA
rnacentral:tRNA from 4 species